AUUGAACGCUGGCGGCAUGCCUAACACAUGCAAGUCGAACGGCAGCACAGUGUGUAGCAAUACACAUGGGUGGCGAGUGGCGGACGGGUGAGUAAUGCGUAGGAAUCUGCCCUUAAGUGGGGGAUAGCCCGGAGAAAUCCGGAUUAAUACCGCAUGUGCUCUACGGAGCAAAGCGGGCCUCUGUUUCAAGCUCGCGCUUGAGGAUGAGCCUACGUCGGAUUAGCUAGUUGGUGGGGUAAAGGCCUACCAAGGCGACGAUCCGUAGCUGGUCUGAGAGGAUGACCAGCCACACUGGGACUGAGACACGGCCCAGACUCCUACGGGAGGCUG
rnacentral:rRNA from 1 species